rnacentral:rRNA from 1 species
UACGUAGGGGCAAGCGUUGUCCGGAAUCAUUGGGCGUAAAGCGCACGUAGGCGGCUCCAAAAGUCAGGGGUGAAAUCCGGCAGCUUAACUGUCGCAGUGCCUUUGAUACUGUGGAGCUAGAGGGAGGUAGGGGUCUGUGGAACUUCCGGUGGAGCGGUGAAAUGCGUUGAUAUCGGAAGGAACGCCGGUGGCGAAAGCGACGGACUGGAUCUCUUCUGACGCUGAGGCGCGAAAGCCAGGGGAGCAAACGGG